rnacentral:rRNA from 1 species
CAGCACCUCAAGUGGUCAGGAUGAUUAUUGGGCCUAAAGCAUCCGUAGCCUGCUUUGUUAGUUUUCGGUUAAAUCCAUACGCUCAACGUAUGGGCUGCCGGGAAUACUGCAAAGCUAGGGAGUGGGAGAGGUAGACGGUACUCGGUAGGAAGGGGUAAAAUCCUUUGAUCUAUUGAUGACCACCUGUGGCGAAGGCGGUCUACCAGAACACGUUCGACGGUGAGGGAUGAAAGCUGGGGGAGCAAACCGGAUUAGAGACCCGAGUAGUCC